CCCCAGACCCGUCUCUCCUCUCCACCACCGCAGCCCUCUUCCUCACCGCCCUGGUCAUGAUUCUGGGAGAGGUGUUCUCCAGGAGAAUCAGGAGGACGAUCUGCUCGUCCUUCUACAGAGACAGAGAGGAGGAACGAGCCUUGUACCUGCGGGACAAGAUUCUAUUAAAGCUGGAGGAUGAGGGAAAUAUUUCCUAGAUCGAUAAACUGGAAGGCGGAUCAGACCAUACACCUCGGGAACAAGAUUCUACUGCAGACCAACGAUGACUAGAAAUGAACAAGAUUCUACUGCAGACCAACGAUGACUAGAAAUGAACAAGAUUCUACUGCAGACCAACGAUGACUGGAAAUGAACAAGAUUCUA